rnacentral:rRNA from 1 species
GGGGAAUAUUGGACAAUGGGGGCAACCCUGAUCCAGCAAUGCCGCGUGUGUGAAGAAGGUCUUCGGAUUGUAAAGCACUUUCGACGGGGACGAUGAUGACGGUACCCGUAGAAGAAGCCCCGGCUAACUUCGUGCCAGCAGCCGCGGUAAUACGAAGGGGGCUAGCGUUGCUCGGAAUGACUGGGCGUAAAGGGCGUGUAGGCGGUUUACACAGUCAGAUGUGAAAUCCCCGGGCUUAACCUGGGAGCUGCAUUUGAUACGUGUAGACUAGAGUGUGAGAGAGGGUUGUGGAAUUCCCAGUGUAGAGGUGAAAUUCGUAGAUAUUGGGAAGAACACCGGUGGCGAAGGCGGCAACCUGGCUCAUGACUGACGCUGAGGCGCGAAAAGCGUGGGGAGCAAACAGGAUUAGAUACCCUGGUAGUCCACGCCUGUAAAACGAUGUGUGCUAGAUGUUGGGUAACUUUGGUUAUUCAGUGUCGCAGUUAACGCG